CGGUCUGCUUCUUCUUUUAUUUUAUUUUUUUCUUUAUUUUUAUUUUCUUUUUCUUUCUUCCUUUUUCAUUUCUUUUUCUUCCUUUAAUUUUUCUUGACAUUUUGAAAGUGAAAUCAAGAGUACAAAAGAGAGUACAUAUAAAGAUUCGGAGAAAUAUUUGAGAAACUCAUAGUCAAGCUUGAAGAAGGGUUUCAAUUAUAACUUUGUAUUUUCUCAUUUAUUUUGCCAUAUUUGUAAUGUAUUGUAUGAAGUAUUCUCCUUUUGGUUACUUGUAUAAAAUGG
rnacentral:lncRNA from 1 species